rnacentral:misc_RNA from 1 species
GGAGUCUGUCUUGGCAUGCAUUUUGAAAGAGAGAGGUAUUGCCAAGAAAGGAAGGAACACUAUGACGGGGAGAGAAGCAAGGACAGGGAGAGGAUUUAUGAGGGGUUUUUGAAUCACGAGACAAGGAAAUUGUUUGGUAACGGGUAACAAUGGUCUCUGCUUUUGGUUUGUUUCGUUUUGUGGAAAAAAAAAAGUAAUACAAUAAUUUAGAAAAAGCUGCAUAUGAAACCACGCGCACGUAUUGUUGACGCUUUUACCUGCCGCAGUGUUUGAACUUUCAAAGGCUAAUCGUCGGAUAAAAUAAAUCCAAGGGUGAAAACAGUGGAGGUGUCAUGCACAUUCGCUGGUCCACUCGCGGAUGUAACAUGGAACAGUUGGGGCUGACAGGGAAGGCAAACCGGAUGUAAUUGGCAAAUUGCUACGCACAAGCAAACACUACAACGAAUGGCGCACUGUGGAGCACCUGCAACCUUUAUACUGUCAUAUCUCCUUCGAUUUUCACCAGAAUCAUGAACUUAGAGUCUGCAAAUGCCAUCAUUGUCAACCAGGUAAGGAUGCUAGGUAAGGACAUUUAUGAUCAAAGAAUUGUUCAAAAAAUAUU